rnacentral:rRNA from 1 species
UACGUAGGGUGCAAGCGUUAAUCGGAAUUACUGGGCGUAAAGCGUGCGCAGGCGGUUAUGUAAGACAGGUGUGAAAUCCCCGGGCUUAACCUGGGAACUGCAUUUGUGACUGCAUAGCUAGAGUACGGUAGAGGGGGAUGGAAUUCCGCGUGUAGCAGUGAAAUGCGUAGAUAUGCGGAGGAACACCGAUGGCGAAGGCGGCCUCCUGGCUUAAUACUGACGCUGAGGUGCGAAAGCGUGGGGAUCAAACAGG